rnacentral:rRNA from 1 species
AGAACGAACGCUGGCGGCACGCCUAAUACAUGCAAGUCGAACGAAGGCUUCGGCCUUAGUGGCGCACGGGUGCGUAACGCGUGGGAAUCUGCCCCUUGGUUCGGAAUAACAGUUGGAAACGACUGCUAAUACCGGAUGAUGACGAAAGUCCAAAGAUUUAUCGCCAAGGGAUGAGCCCGCGUAGGAUUAGCUAGUUGGUGAGGUAAAGGCUCACCAAGGCGACGAUCCUUAGCUGGUCUGAGAGGAUGAUCAGCCACACUGGGACUGAGACACGGCCCAGACUCCUACGGGAGCAGCAGUAGGGAAUAUUGGACAAGUGGGA